CAGUCCUUUAUACAAUGUUUCCACUUGGCUGUUGUCAAUCUCUGGUUGUCCACUGCCAGCCGGGAAGACUUAAUUGGCAAUUAAGCCUUUUGUUUUUUCUUUUUGAUUAAAC